rnacentral:rRNA from 1 species
AUUGAACGCUGGCGGCAGGCCUAACACAUGCAAGUCGAGCGGAUGAGUGGAGCUUGCUCCAUGAUUCAGCGGCGGACGGGUGAGUAAUGCCUAGGAAUCUGCCUAUUAGUGGGGGACAACGUUUCGAAAGGAACGCUAAUACCGCAUACGUCCUACGGGAGAAAGCAGGGGACCUUCGGGCCUUGCGCUAAUAGAUGAGCCUAGGUCGGAUUAGCUUGUUGGUGAGGUAAUGGCUCACCAAGGCGACGAUCCGUAACUGGUCUGAGAGGAUGAUCAGUCACACUGGAACUGAGACACGGUCCAGACUCCUACGGGAGGCAGCAGUGGGGAAUAUUGGACAAUGGGCGAAAGCCUGAUCCAGCCAUGCCGCGUGUGUGAAGAAGGUCUUCGGAUUGUAAAGCACUUUAAGUUGGGAGGAAGGGUUGUAGAUUAAUACUCUGCAAUUUUGACGUUACCGACAGAAUAAGCACCGGCUAACUCUGUGCCAGCAGCCGCCGCCGUAA